rnacentral:rRNA from 1 species
GACGAACGCUGGCGGCGUGCUUAACACAUGCAAGUCGAACGGAAAGGCCUUUUCGGAGGUACUCGAGUGGCGAACGGGUGAGUAACACGCGGGUGAUCUGCCCUGCACUCUGGGAUAAGCCUGGGAAACUGGGUCUAAUACCGGAUAGGACCGCACUUUAGUGUGUGUGGGGGAAAGUUUUUGCGGUGUAGGAUGAGCCCGCGGCCUAUCAGCUUGUUGGUGGGGUAAUGGCCUACCAAGGCGGCGACGGGUAGGCGGACUGGGAGGUUGGUCGGCCACAUUGGGACUGGGAUACGGCCCAGACUCCUACGGGAGGCAGCAGGGGGGAAUAUUUCACAAUGGGCGCAAGCCUGAUGCAGCGACGCCGCGUGGGGGAUGACGGCCUUCGGGUUGUAAACUCCUUUCGCCAUGGACGAAGCGUUUUGUGACGGUACCUGGAGAAGAAGCACCGGCUAACUACGUG